UACGUAGGUGGCGAGCGUUGUCCGGAUUUACUGGGCGUAAAGAGCGCGCAGGCGGUCGUUCAAGUCGCGUGUGAAAGCCCCCGGCUCAACUGGGGAGGGUCACGCGAUACUGAUCGACUCGAAGGCAGGAGAGGGUAGUGGAAUUCCCGGUGUAGUGGUGAAAUGCGUAGAUAUCGGGAGGAACACCAGAGGCGAAGGCGACUACCUGGCCUGUUCUUGACGCUGAGGCGCGAAAGCUAGGGGAGCAAACGGG
rnacentral:rRNA from 1 species